rnacentral:tRNA from 1 species
UUAAUUGAAGCCAAAAAAGAGGCAUAUUAUUGUUAAUAAUAUAAAUGGAAUGUACCCAGUUAAA